rnacentral:rRNA from 1 species
AUUGAACGCUGGCGGCAUGCCUUACACAUGCAAGUCGAACGGCAGCACGGGAGCAAUCCUGGUGGCGAGUGGCGAACGGGUGAGUAAUAUAUCGGAACGUGCCCAGUCGUGGGGGAUAACGUAGCGAAAGCUACGCUAAUACCGCAUACGAUCUAUGGAUGAAAGCGGGGGAUCGCAAGACCUCGCGCGAUUGGAGCGGCCGAUAUCAGAUUAGGUAGUUGGUGAGGUAAAGGCUCACCAAGCCGACGAUCUGUAGCUGGUCUGAGAGGACGACCAGCCACACUGGGACGGAGACACGGCCCAGACUCCUCCGGGAGGCAGCAGUGGGGAAUUUUGGACAAUGGGCGCAAGCCUGAUCCAGCAAUGCCGCGUGCAGGAUGAAGGCCUUCGGGUUGUAAACUGCUUUUGUACGGAACGAAACGGCGAGCUCUAAUACAGUUUGCUAAUGACGGUACCGUAAGAAUAAGCACCGGCUAACUACGUGCCAGCAGCCGCGGUAA